rnacentral:rRNA from 1 species
CAUCGGGUAGAGCGAAUGAUUAGAGGUAGCUCUUUUAUGAUGCGAUGAGUGGUGGUGCAUGGCCGUUCUUAGUUCGUGGAGUGAUCUGUCGGCCUAAUCGCGGUAACGAACGAGACCAUAAUCUCCAUUUAAGAGAUAGAAGCAGACGUCUGUGCGAGUGGAGUCGCAAGAUUUCACCCGUCGGGUGUUGCAGGUUGCAUUGUGCGUCGCAUUGUCAAAGUGUAGGGGCAACCUGAAACUUUGGUGGUGUGGUGUGCUUUGUUCCCUUCUAUUGAGCAGCAAUCGGUCUCGACUGGUUGUUGCCUUAUGGAGAGACAACGAGGUAUAUACAAGCUCGAGGAAGAGUGGCUAUAACAGGUCAGUGAUGCCCUUCGAU